ACGAGCUGGGGAAAACUGAGUACAACUAACGAAGCAGGGGCACGAAAAUAGAAAUCCCUUCUUUUUUUCAGGCAUACACAAAGGUAGUAGAGAAGGCGGUCAAGGGGACGCCUGUCAGUUGUUCCCCUUUGUACAACUCAAUCAAAGCUCUGGAAAGAGCAGCUACCAAAGUAGACAGUGAGCGAAAGGAUAUUCAGAGGGAAUUGUCAAGCAAGCAGCUUAGCAAGGAUUCGAUCAAGAUCCGAGGACUCAACGACCGACUUAUGCAGGCGGAGCGAGCCUUCACUAACAGGGAAGGUAUCUUCAAGCAAGAAUGGUACAAACAUCUGAUCUAUGGACCUUCAGAACAGAACGACUGGGAUACCGCAUCGUAUCCUGGUAUAUCCGACGCCAUAGCCACCGCGAGGAGCACCAACACUUCAACAUCCUGGAAGCUCGUGCAGCACGAGAUUCACAGAGUAGCCAGGGCCGUGACACAAGCAUCUGUUGUGCUCAGUGGAAGCCUCACAUGACAGCGUUGCAGUCCGUU